rnacentral:rRNA from 1 species
UGCAGUCGAGCGGAUGGAUUGAGAGCUUGCUCUNAUGAAGUUAGCGGCGGACGGGUGAGUAACACGUGGGUAACCUGCCCAUAAGACUGGGAUAACUCCGGGAAACCGGGGCUAAUACCGGAUAACAUUUUGAACUGCAUGGUUCGAAAUUGAAAGGCGGCUUCGGCUGUCACUUAUGGAUGGACCCGCGUCGCAUUAGCUAGUUGGUGAGGUAACGGCUCACCAAGGCAACGAUGCGUAGCCGACCUGAGAGGGUGAUCGGCCACACUGGGACUGAGACACGGCCCAGACUCCUACGGGAGGCAGCAGUAGGGAAUCUUCCGCAAUGGACGAAAGUCUGACGGAGCAACGCCGCGUGAGUGAUGAAGGCUUUCGGGUCGUAAAACUCUGUUGUUAGGGAAGAACAAGUGCUAGUUGAAUAAGCUGGCACCUUGACGGUACCUAACCAGAAAGCCACGGCUAACUACGUGCCAGCAGCCGCGGUAAUACGUAGGUGGCAAGCGUUAUCCGGAAUUAUUGGGCGUAAAGCGCGCGCAGGUGGUUUCUUAAGUCUGAUGUGAAAGCCCACGGCUCAACCGUGGAGGGUCAUUGGAAACUGGGAGACUUGAGUGCAGAAGAGGAAAGUGGAAUUCCAUGUGUAGCGGUGAAAUGCGUAGAGAUAUGGAGGAACACCAG